AGCAAAGUAUACCGGUCCAGCAUAAUAUGUUGGAGUUCGUAUACAGAUGCACCAAACUCCCAUAUAUUAUGUGGGACCGGUCUCUGUUGUAGUAAAAUAGUAGUUAUUUCUCAUUGACUUCGUAAAUGAUGGCUAUUUUUAAAUGACUAAUGCAAAACUAGCUAUAUCGUGCUAUUUUUACCUUCACCAGAUGACGUGAAAUGGACAUUUGGUCGCAACAACAGCACAGGAAAGGCACAUGGCAAUCUGAAGAGAUUUAUCUUAAUACAAAGGAUCGCAUGGAUUUCUGAUGCCACAGUGAUUUGGAUACAAAACAUGUAUUCCAGCACUUAUAUCAGUAUCAAUUUGUUCAACAAACGCAUAACCAAUACAAACACCAAAUCGAGAGUUGGAGGAGUUCGUAGGUGUUGUUUGUAUUAUGGAAGGACAAAAAUAAGCUAUGGUUUGAAAAGUACAUGGGGGGCUGAGAAAGGAAAACCAUGAAGUUUUUGUGUCAUUACAAUCAUUUUCAGGGAGAAAAAUAGUGAAACUUCUACCUUCUGAAAAGUCAAUAUGUGGAUUCUAAU
rnacentral:lncRNA from 1 species